AGAAUGGACAUAGCUCACUCCAGUGAAGCAGCCAGUCCAACAAGGGAAGAGGAUUUGCCAGGAACCUCUGUUCCACGAUCACCAAUGCCAGUUUCAGCAGCAUGGCUGAAUGAGGAAGAUCCCCAAACAGCAUGUCGGUUGUUCCGAGAAGAACUACUGGACCGGAACUCAGAAUGUCCACGCCUCUUUCUGUCAGUCAACAUGUUUCACACAGUGGAAGAACAGGACAGUUCACUGAUAUCCUUCUAUAAGAAGGAUAAUGUUAACUGGGCCGCUCCUUUCAAGUGCAAGCUGACAGGAGAUGCAGCAGUCGGCGAAGGUUCCAACCGACAUGUUGUUUCAAUGACCAUGGAGAAACUGAAGACUGGCUUCACUAUAAAUGCAGUGCUCCUCUUACAACCCUUUUUGAAGGUGAAAAAGAACAUCGCGUUCCAUCUGCAGCUGCUGUACUUCAACAGAGCAACCUUUUUCAGAUGGCAGGUCGGAUGAUAGGCCAUUCUUUCCUGCAUUCUGGUUGUGGUUUCUCUGGCCUCAGUCUGCCUGUGGUCACUCUAUUGACUAGUGGGAGCACCGACACUGCUACAUCAGCUCUGACUGCCCUGAUCUUGAUCAUCGAGAAACAAUUGUUUUUCUCAAGAAUGCAGAACUUACUGCCGAAGAAAACUCCCGCUUGACUGAUCUGUGCCUGUCAUGGGAUCUUCCUGUUCCCACCGCCAACAAUCGUGACUGGCUGUUCCAGGAACUGCUUUCACAUGCUGUACUUAAACGUGUUAAGCAGCCUAUCAAACAAAUCCGCAAAGGGCUGAAAGAAACAGGCAUCUGGCCACUUCUUUCAGCUAGACCAGAUGUUCACCACAUCAUUUUCCCGAGGGAGUCUACUGAGGAACUCAGUCCACAGCUUGUGAUGCAGCACAUUCAAUGGCCACAACCUAAGUAUGACAGUGAUGAUGACGACGACGACGAUCGCAUUCCACUGGAAAAAGUCUGUCUUGUCACUGGAUUUUUGCGCAAAUUCAUCCAGGAAGGAGGACCUGCGCAACCUCGUGAGGUUCUGGGUUGGGUGGGAGCUGCCAUCAUCAAAUCUCAAAGUUGAGGUUGUAACCUCAACUUACCCAGUGGCUCUCACCUGUUUCCACAAGUUGAGGCUCCCUGACCACUACCAAAGUUACCAGAAGUUUCACCAGGACUUGGUCAUGGCCCUCAAAUCAAGUGUUUCUGGAUUUGGGCUUGUGUAGGUGUGAUGGCAUUGCUUUGUGGACUCUGGCUUUUAGGCCAAUAGUUUGGGGAUAUGAAAAGCGCCAUGUUCAAAAUGUGCGCACAGAAGUUACCUGUUGGACAUGAGGGAGGAGCGGAGAAGGAUCGAGUUGAAUCGUCAGAAAGAGGGAAGGAGAGAGGAAAGAAGGACGGAUGGAGGAGGAAGGAAAGAGGGAAGGAGAGGAAGAGGGAGGAAAAAAAUAAAGACAGAGGGAGGAAGGAAGGAAAGGAGGGAUGGAGGAAGGAUGGAGGAAAGAGGGACAGAGGGGAAAAAGGAAAAGAGGAUGGAAACAAGGGAGGAAGGAGGCAAGGAAGGAAAGGAGGAAGGAAGAGAGAGAAAAGAAGGAAGGCGGAGGAAGGAAAGAGAGGGAAGGAGGGGAAGAGCUACAACAAAAUUGAGGAAGUAAGUUUUAAAAGUUUACUGAAAAAGUUUACUGAGGUUAUAAAAUGAGAAGUACGGUGAAUUCUCCAUGUUUCUGCAACCAAAUUGUCAACCUCUGGUAAUCUUCAGAUACAAUGUAGUUUUGAAGUUACUCCAUGUUGGCCUCAUGUCAGAGGGCUGUUACAUGUACUCCCCACCUGGUUAUACAGAGAUGUAUUUGUUCAUAAUAAAAGAAAAAA